rnacentral:rRNA from 1 species
GAUCGGCCCGCUAUUCUUCGGAAUGGUGGGUACGGAGCGGCGGACGGGUGAGUAACGCGUACCUGACCUACCCUCCAGAGGGGGAUAGCCACUGGAAACGGUGGGUAAUACCCCAUACGUUCCCACUGGGUGUAAGCGGUUUGAAAAGGCGGCUUACAUGAAGUGGGAAGAAAGCUGAGGCGCUGGAGGAUGGGGGUGUGUCCCAUCAGCUAGUUGGUAGGGUAACGGCCUACCAAGGCGAAGACGGGUAACCGGCCUGAGAGGGUGGACGGUCACACCGGGACUGAGACACGGCCCGGACUCCUACGGGAGGCAGCAGUGGGGAAUAUUGGGCAAUGGGGGAAACCCUGACCCAGCGACGCCGCGUGGUGGAAGGAGCCCUUCGGGGUGUAAACACCUGUACAGGGGGAAGAGGAAGGACGGUACCCCUGGAGCAAGGGACGGCUAACU